rnacentral:lncRNA from 1 species
ACGCGAUGAGGUAUCCGAUGCAUUGCGGCCCGACGCUUUCACGGCCGUCGGAUCGUCAUCGCACGCCGCGGGAGCAGACAUCGGGAGGUGGGGGAGAGGGAGGGGCGUACGUACGGAGGGGUCGGUGCGUGGCGAUGCGUAGACCGGGGAUGCCUGGGUCAGAAGACGUCGGGGUGGAAGCGGCCGGGGAUGGAGCUGCUCUGCUGGGCCUGCUUCAGGUGCAACGACAGCGCGUAGUUGUUGACCUGCUCCGAGGAGACGACGGCGGAUGAGAGAGACGCAUCGCAUUCAAGAGAGAGAGAGACACAGAGAGAGAGAGAGAGAGUAGUGUCGGUUGGUUUUUCUACCUCGAGGGUGCGGAGCUGCUCCUGGUACUGGGCGAGGAGCUGCUUGAGGUGGUGGAGCUCCUGGGUCUUCUCGUCAAACUCCUUCUGCCGCUCGUGCUGGAUCGCCACCGCCCUCUUCAGUAUCUCGUUGUCCCUCAGCAACCCCUCCAGCUGCUCCUUCA